GGGCACUUGGCACAGUUGGUAGCGCGCACGCUUCGCAUUGUGGAUUGCGUGAGGUCGUGGGUUCAACUCCCACAGUGUCCA